GACGAACCGUGCGAACGUUAUUCGGAAUCACUGGGCUUAAAGCGCGUGUAGGCGGGGAGGCACGUCCGACGUUGAAAUCCCCCGGCUCAACCGGGGAACUGGCGCGGAUACGACCUUCCUGGAGGGGCGUAGGGGGACCUGGAACUUCCGGUGGAGCGGUGAAAUGCGUUGAGAUCGGAAGGAACGCCCGUGGCGAAAGCGAGGUCCUGGACGCCUACUGACGCUGAGGAGCGAAAGCGUGGGGAGCGAACAGG
rnacentral:rRNA from 1 species